GUGGCUGGUCUCCUCUCGAAUAACAUGUCUGUGUGUGCUUGAUGGAGCUCUGCAGUUCAUGUCAAGUCUGUUUUAACGAGGUAACCCAACUUCAUGUGGACCAGAGCGCACCACUGAAAGUUACAAGUCUGCAGUUGAUCAGUUAGAGGCUGAAAAUGUGCCAGAUGUUCAAGGAAUAAAGUUCAGAUAUGGCAGAAUCAGAAAUACAGAAGAUAAGCAGUGCCAUUACUGCAGUGUUUCCUGAUCUUCCUGAAGCAGUUCUGAAUUCAGUUAUAGACACAUUGAAGGCACUU